AGAGUUUGAUCCUGGCUCAGGACGAACGCUGGCGGCGUGCUUAACACAUGCAAGUGGAGCGACGAACCGGGCUUCGGCCCGGGGCAAAGCCGCGAACGGGUGAGUAUCACGUGGGUAACCUGCCCCGACGACCGGGACAACCCGAGGAAACUCGGGCUAAUACCGGAUGUGUUCUCAAUCCACCAGGGUUGAGAGCAAAGGAAGCUUCGGCCUCCGCAUCGGGAUGGGCCCGCGGCCCAUUAGCUUGUUGGUGAGGUAAAGGCUCACCAAGGCGACGAUGGGUAGCUGGUCUGAGAGGACGAUCAGCCACACUGGGACUGAGACACGGCCCAGACUCCUACGGGAGGCAGCAGUGGGGAAUCUUGCGCAAUGCGCGAAAGCGUGACGCAGCAACGCCGCGUGAGGGAAGAAGGCCUUCGGGUUGUAAACCUCUUUCAGGAGGGACGAAGGUUCAGGCGCGAAUAGCGUCCUGGACUGACGGUACCUCCAGAAGAAGCCCCGGCUAACUACGUGCCAGCCGCGGCGGUAAUAC
rnacentral:rRNA from 1 species